rnacentral:rRNA from 1 species
AGCGAACGCUGGCGGCAGGCUUAACACAUGCAAGUCGAGCGGGCAUCCUUGUGGUGUCAGCGGCAGACGGGUGAGUAACGCGUGGGAACGUGCCCUUCGGUUCGGAAUAACUCAGGGAAACUUGAGCUAAUACCGGAUACGCCCUUUUGGGGAAAGGUUUACUGCCGAAGGAUCGGCCCGCGUCUGAUUAGCUAGUUGGUGAGGUUACGGCUCACCAAGGCGACGAUCAGUAGCUGGUCUGAGAGGAUGAUCAGCCACACUGGGACUGAGACACGGCCCAGACUCCUACGGGAGGCAGCAGUGGGGAAUAUUGGACAAUGGGGGCAACCCUGAGCCAGCCAUGCCGCGUGAGUGAUGACAGCCUUAGGGUUGUAAAGCUCUUUUCUCCGGGACGAUAAUGACGGUACCGGAGGAAUAAGCCCCGGCUAACUUCGUG